GACGAACGCUGGCGGCGUGCCUAAUACAUGCAAGUAGAACGCUGAAGGAGGAGCUUGCUUCUCCGGAUGAGUUGCGAACGGGUGAGUAACGCGUAGGUAACCUGCCUGGUAGCGGGGGAUAACUAUUGGAAACGAUAGCUAAUACCGCAUAACAGUAGAUAUUGCAUGAUAUCUGCUUGAAAGGUGCAAUUGCAUCACUACCAGAUGGACCUGCGUUGUAUUAGCUAGUUGGUGGGGUAACGGCUCACCAAGGCGACGAUACAUAGCCGACCUGAGAGGGUGAUCGGCCACACUGGGACUGGGACACGGCCCAGACUCCUACGGGAGGCAGCAGGAGGGAAUCUUCGGCAAUGGACGGAAGUCCGACCGAGCAACGCCGCGUGAGUGAAGAAGGUUUUCGGAUCGUAAAGCUCGGUUGUAAGAGAAGAAAGAGUGUGAGAGUGGAAAGUUCACACUGUGACGGUAGCUUACCAGAAAGGGACGGCUAACUACGUG
rnacentral:rRNA from 1 species